rnacentral:lncRNA from 1 species
UCAGCCGUAAGGGGUGAAUUUAAUCCACUUGAAAGUUGUUAAGGGGGGUAAAUAAACGGAAGUUAAGUUUAAGUGUUAAAGUGAAUUUGGAGGACAAGUUCAGGGGGGAAAAGAUGUAUUUUCUCAAAUUUAAAAAGAUAAAAUAAAAGAGUUGAAAAUAUAUUAUUUAUCUAACAAACUCACUCUUCAAGUUGUAGACAUGUAAUUCUGUUCCUCCGAGAUGUCAGUUUUUCUUAUUUAAUUGACCUUACCAUAUACCCUACCUCAUUUUAAUAAUUUUCCAGACAAUAAUAACCAAUUCUUAACAAAUAUAACAUCCCACCCAAUCAAAUUUAACCACCUCACUACCUGUUGCGUCUCUAUGCACACGCAAGUGUACGUGAUCGUGCAAGUAAUAUAAUGACUCGGACAGUCAGUUAUCGUUCCCUCGAGGAUCAAUAAACUAGAAAUUUAUUAAAUCUUCAGUUCAAGACAAUUGAGUAUUAAGUGUUUGGUUGUAUCAUGAUUAAGAUGAUUGUGUAAAUAAAAUGUAAAUUACUAAACAAGAAAUAAUUAAUGAUGACUAAAGCAAAGUAAGCAACGGUUGUAAUUAAUAAUGAGGACGAUUCCAAGGUUGAGGUAUUUUGAACAAUCAUACAAUUCUCUAUUUUUUUCACAGUCUAAUUAGUUAUCGGGUUGAUGGUUCGCAAGGGUUAUGCCACGAUCUUGUUCUCCCGACCUCAAAUCUUCUAUCUAUUGAAUGUUGUAACUACAACUCCCGCAGAGUUACAACAAAUCUUCUAGAUUCAUGAAGUUGUUUUCUUGCAAGUGAACCAAGCAAGGCUUCUAGAUAUAUCCCUAUCCUAGAUGCUAAUUCAAAUCCCUUAUUUUAUAAAAGAAUAAGAACCUUGCUCCUUAAUUUCUUCGUUCUAUCCUAUGAUUCUCCUCCCGGAUUCACAUAGAAAUAUAAAUUUAUUCUAAUGGUGGCCAAUCAUUAAAAUAGUAAGAUCAAAAAAUUAAGAACAACUCAUUUGAUAAUCCAAAAAGAAACUAUGAAUAAGAAUAGUAAAGAGUACUCAUGUUCUUAGCCACAACCCCAGAAAUAGGGUGUUUAGCUACUUAUGUUUGAAUUCAUCAUCCAAAAUAAGUAACAAAUCAUACCCAAAUCAAUCCUUCAAAUAAAGAAAUUCAAAAGAAUGUUUAAGAACCCUAAAAGAGAGAAAUUUCUGCUUUUUCGCCGCUGCUCUGCUUCACCAAAAAGUCCCUCACAUUAUCUUGAAUUUUUCCUUUUAUAGCUGGGACAAUACACUUAAAAUAUUCCCGAUUUGUCAGCCCGG